GUUCUUACUUUGGCAGCACAUACACUAAAAGUUUGGAAAUGUACAGAGAUUAGCAUGGUCCCUGCAUAAGGAUAACACACAAAGUUGUGAAGUGUUUCACAUUUAG
ensembl:snRNA U6 U6 spliceosomal RNA